UGAGGAAUGGCUCAGUUGGUAGAGCGUGAGACUCAAUCUCAGGCUUGUGGGUUUGAACCCCAUGCUGGGUGAAAGAUUCCUCCA